CAGGGUUGGAGUCUCAGAAGACAGUGCUGUUGGGGAAUCUCCACUAUGGCCUGGGCUCUGCUCCUCAUCACCCUCCUCACUCAGGGCACAGGUGA
rnacentral:pre_miRNA from 1 species